rnacentral:rRNA from 1 species
AGCGGCAGACGGGUGAGUAACACGUAGGUGAUCUACCCCAGAGACGGGGAGAACGGGUGGAAACAUCCGCUAAUACCGGAUAGGCUUGUUCGGUCAAAGGGACAAGGAAAGGCUCCGGCGCUCUGGGAGGAGCCUGCGGNCCAUCAGCUAGUUGGCGGGGUAACGGCCCACCAAGGCAAAGACGGGUAGGGGGUGUGAGAGCAUGGCCCCCCACAAUGGGACUGGAACACGGCCCAUACUCCUACGGGAGGCAGCAGCAGGGAAUAUUGCACAAUGGACGGAAGUCUGAUGCAGCGACGCCGCGUGGAUGAAGAAGGCCCUCGGGUUGUAAAAUCCUUUACAGGGGGAAGAGGAAGGACGGUACCCCUGGAACAAGUGCCGGCUAACUACGUGCCAGCAGCCGCGGUAAGACGUAGGACACAAGCGUUAUCCGGAUUUACUUGGGCGUAAAGCGUCUGCAGGCGGACAGGUAAAGUUGGGCGUGAAAGCUCCGGGCCCAACCCGGAGAGGUCGUUCAAUACUUGCGUGUCUAGAAGGGCGUCCAGAGGGGAGUGGAAUU